UCGGGGUAAAAUCCAUCUCCCUUGUGCACAAUUUUUCCUGAUCUCGAGUCCUUUCCUUGCGUUUCCUUCGAAAUGUUUGCUCAUUAUGCUCUCAGAUCUUUACCCUCCGCGGAAUUUGUUGCUGCUUGAUCGCUUGAGCUCUGCUUCGUCUCCUCAAUUCAUGGGGUUUUCGUGAUUCUCAGAAAGAGCGAGUUGAGGGCUGAGAUGAUAAUUUAGCCAUUGAAUUGCUUGGGAUUUGAGAAAUGAGCACCAAUCAUGAUCAUCGGAAGAACAACGGGCAUCGAGAUGCUUUGCCGGGAAGUGAUCUUUGGACUGAUGGCCUUAUCUGUGCUUUCGAGUACGUUCGAGGACACCGGAGGGUGUUUCAGUGGAAACCCGGAACGAGGAUUCAGAACGCAGAACAUGUCGGAAACGGACAUCAACGAGGUCUAGGUUUCCCUGACAGGGUACAUUUUGGCUAUGAUAGCAACCGAGAGGAAGGUCGGACAGGCGAAUAUGGGGUCGAAAGGAGUUAUUGGAAACAGGUAGGAUGGGAAAGGCUAUCUGAACUUGUUCAGACAGUGCAAGUUGGCAGUGGUUGGGAAAUGCAUAAUGUUGAACCCUCGGAUGAGGAGGAUGAAACUACUGUUGCUGAAUUGGCGGCUCCUUAUUGGGAACGCCCUGUGGGCCCAACCUGGUGGUGCCAUGUUGAUGCCCGUCAUCGAGCUAUAGCUUCGUGGUUGAGUAGCGCGCAAUGGUUGCAUCCGGCUAUAAGCCUUGCUCUUCGGGACGAAAGCAAGCUCAUAAGUGACCGGAUGAAGCAUCUUCUGUAUGAGGUUCCUGUCAGAGUUGCAGGCGGGCUGCUGUUUGAGCUGUUGGGACAAUCAGCUGGUGAUCCUUUCAUCGAAGAAGAUGAUAUCCCAGUUGUCUUAAGAUCAUGGCAGACACAGAAUUUUCUAGUGACUGCAUUGCAUGUUAAAGGCUCUGCACCGAACAUAAACGUGCUAGGUAUUGUAGAGGUUCAGGAAAUGCUUAUCGCGGGUGGAGCUCGGAGUCCACGAACAGUUCACGAGCUAAUAGCACAUCUAGCUUGUCGCCUUGCUCGCUGGGACGAUAGGUUAUUCCGCAAAUACAUAUUCGGUGCAGCUGAUGAAGUUGAGCUGAAGUUUAUGAACAGGAGAAUGCACGAGGAUCUGCAUCUCUUCACUAUAAUCUUGAACCAAGAAAUCAGAAGGCUCUCAACGCAGGUUAUACGAGUGAAAUGGUCGCUCCACGCAAGGGAAGAGAUUGUGUUCGAGCUUCUUCAACAACUGAAAGGCAAUACAACGAAAGACCUACUAGAAGGAAUAAGGAAGAGCACCCGGGACAUGAUUGAUGAACAGGAAGCAGUCCGAGGCCGCUUAUUCACUAUCCAAGAUGUCAUGCAGAGCACUGUCCGAGCAUGGCUACAGGACCGGAGCCUCACCGUCACGCAUAACCUUGGAAUCUUUGGAGGUGUCGGACUCAUUCUCACGAUAGUAACCGGACUCUUUGGGAUCAAUGUGGAUGGAAUACCAGGAGCUGAAGAGUCUCCAUAUGCGUUUGCUCUGUUUUCGGGCAUUCUUUUUUUGUCAGGGCUUGUCUUGAUAGUGACCGCCCUUCUCUACCUCGGCCUGAAGGAACCGAAGACAGAAGUGAACGCUGAGAUCAGGAGACUGGAACUGGACGAACUGGUUAGGAUGUUUCAGCAAGAAGCAGAAUCUCACGCCAAAGUCCGUAAAAACAUUCCACAGAAUAUCGAACACACAGCUGCAAGAGGGAUUCUCCAGGACGGAGGAGACGGAUACGUUCUCAUCGGUUGAAGGAAAGGGAUGGAUCAAUGUAUGGAAACCUCGAGUCCAAGAUGCAGAUGAGUUUUAGUCUGUCCCAGGCUUGGGUCAGUAGUGGUCGCUUCCGAUUCGAUUUGAAUACCUUGGAGGUUUCCGAAGGUUUAUACAAAGAUAACAACCCAAGAAUAUUCAUUUAUUGGACCGUAAGUUUAGUUUCUUGGUCUAGCUUUUUUUUUCCAGUUCUAUUCUAUGUCUAUGUCUUGGUUUGUAGAAGUUGGAUUAUCUAAUGAACCAAAAUAGAGGGAUUCAUACAAAGACACGGGUUGCUACAAUCAUUGUUGCCCGGGCUUGGUGCAGCUAUUCGGGCCAUAUCGACCUAUGGCGGU